rnacentral:rRNA from 1 species
UACAGAGGGUGCGAGCGUUAAUCGGAAUUACUGGGCGUAAAGCGCACGUAGUCGGCUUUGCAAGUCGGUUGUGAAAUCCCCGGGCUCAACCUGGGAACUGCAUCCGAUGACUGCAUUGCUAGAGUAUGGGAGAGGAAAGCGGAAUUUCUGGUGUAGCAGUGAAAUGCGUAGAUAUCAGAAGGAACAUCAGUGGCGAAGGCGGCUUUCUGGACCAAUACUGACGAUCAGGUGCGAAAGCGUGGGGAGCAAACAGG